rnacentral:rRNA from 1 species
UACGUAGGGUCCGAGCGUUGUCCGGAAUUACUGGGCGUAAAGAGCUCGUAGGUGGUUUGUCGCGUUGUUCGUGAAAACUCACAGCUCAACUGUGGGCGUGCGGGCGAUACGGGCAGACUGGAGUACUGCAGGGGAGACUGGAAUUCCUGGUGUAGCGGUGGAAUGCGCAGAUAUCAGGAGGAACACCGGUGGCGUAGGCGGGUCUCUGGGCAGUAACUGACGCUGAGGAGCGAGAGCGUGGGGAGCGAACAGG